rnacentral:rRNA from 1 species
UACGGAGGGUGCAAGCGUUAUCCGGAUUCACUGGGUUUAAAGGGUGCGUAGGUGGGUCUGUAAGUCCGUGGUGAAAUCUCCGAGCUUAACUUGGAAACUGCCAUGGAUACUAUAGAUCUUGAAUACUUUGGAGGUAAGCGGAAUAUGUCAUGUAGCGGUGAAAUGCUUAGAUAUGACAUAGAACACCAAUUGCGAAGGCAGCUUACUACACAGUUAUUGACACUGAGGCACGAAAGCGUGGGGAUCAAACAGG